UUUAGAUUACUGCUAACCAGAACUCCUAAAUCCUUUUUGCAAUCAGUAGUAUUAAGAUCUACAUUAUUUAGUUUAUAUGUGGCAUGGUUAUUUACCUGUCCAACAUUUAGAACUUUGCAUUUGUCAAUAUUAAUCUGCAUCUGCCACUUCUCUGACCAUUGCAUCAGUCUAUUCAAAUCAUCCUGGAGUGCUCUAGUGUCCUUAUUAGAAUGAAUUGGACAGCCUAUUUUGGUGUCAUCAGCAAAUUUGCUUAUGUCGCUAUUUAUUCCCUCAUCUAUGACGUUUAUGUAAAUUGUGAACAACAGUGGCUUUCCCAUACCCAGAUCUCUCGAUAUUGUAAUCUUUAUAUCUUCUGAAUGUCCAUAUUAACCAGAUUGGUGAUUCAUGGAGAUAUGGUCUUUGAAACACAAAAUUAACCCAAAUUUGAAACAAAAAUAAUGUUAUGCAGACUAAAUCUUGUAUGAUUUUGUGGUUUCUAAUUUCAUGGAACCUCUAGGAUCACAGCUCCCUUUAUACAAAUGAAUAACUUAAUCAUGAUUUACUUGGCUUACAUUUCCAGAUUUAUAUUGGAACUAUCUCCCCAGCACGUGACACAUCAGCAAAGUACAUAGCUUGGGGACACUCCUCAGUGGUCAACCCAUGGGGAGAAGUAAUUGCUACAUCUGAAGAGUAUGAAGCUAUUAUAUAUGGUGACGUAGAUCUUGACUACGUGGAAAAGGUACGACAGAUGAUCCCGCUUCGUGAUCAGAAGAGGAAUGAUUUGUACGAAAUUAAUAUAAAGUAACAGACAGGUUCAGAUUAGUAUUUAAUCAGUGAGAAAGAAAAUCAUCAACAGUUCUCCAGAAAUUUUUAGUCUUGUUAUGCUCUUGUCAGACUUCCUCUCUUAAAUGUAUCAUCUUUAACAUUAACAGAUGCUGUGUAUAUUUUUCUGAGACUAACAUUUUUAGACCGAUAGCAGUACUCAAGUUUGUGAACUUAAUGCUUGGACUAUUUUCAUUUCUAUAAUAAUUUUUUUUUUACACCACAAAAUUAUAUACGUACUUAGUUAUGAUGCUUUGCACUGCCACUUUAUUUUUUUAUUUAUAAAGAUGACACUGUACAGCUAAUUGACAGUAUAAUGUGAUCUUUAAAGUUAAAUAAUGAUAAACAAAUUUUGCUCAUGAAAUGGCAGCACCACUGUAAAUCUCAUUUUAUAAAAUACACCAUGUAAAAUAAUUUAACCAUAAUAAAAAAAAGUUGAAAAA